UACGAAGGGGGCUAGCGUUGUUCGGAAUUACUGGGCGUAAAGCGUGCGCAGGCGGCUUCUCAAGUCAGGGGUGAAAGCCCAGAGCUUAACUCUGGAAUUGCCUUUGAGACUGAGAGGCUUGAGUACGGGAGAGGUGAGUGGAAUUCCCAGUGUAGAGGUGAAAUUCGUAGAUAUUGGGAAGAACACCGGUGGCGAAGGCGGCUCACUGGCCCGGUACUGACGCUGAGGCGCGAAAGCGUGGGGAGCAAACAGG
rnacentral:rRNA from 1 species